AACGAACGCUGGCGGCAUGCCUAACACAUGCAAGUCGAACGAGACCUUCGGGUCUAGUGGCGCACGGGUGCGUAACGCGUGGGAACCUGCCCUUAGGUUCGGAAUAACUCCCCGAAAGGGGUGCUAAUACCGGAUAAUGUCUUCGGACCAAAGAUUUAUCGCCUUUGGAUGGGCCCGCGUUGGAUUAGCUAGUUGGUAGGGUAAAAGCCUACCAAGGCGACGAUCCAUAGCUGGUCUGAGAGGAUGAUCAGCCACACUGGGACUGAGACACGGCCCAGACCCCCUAGGGGGGGAAGAAGGGGGAAUUAUGGAAAAAGGGCGGAAAGCCUAACCAAGCAACGCCGCGUGAGUAAUAAGGCCUUUGGGGUUGUAAAGUUUUUUUACCCGGAAUGAAAAUGACGGUACGGGGAAAAAAAGCCCGGGCUAACCCCGUC
rnacentral:rRNA from 1 species